AUUGAACGCUGGCGGCAGGCCUAACACAUGCAAGUCGAGCGGAUGAAGGGAGCUUGCUCCUGGAUUCAGCGGCGGACGGGUGAGUAAUGCCUAGGAAUCUGCCUGGUAGUGGGGGAUAACGUCCGGAAACGGGCGCUAAUACCGCAUACGUCCUGAGGGAGAAAGUGGGGGAUCUUCGGACCUCACGCUAUCAGAUGAGCCUAGGUCGGAUUAGCUAGUUGGUGGGGUAAAGGCCUACCAAGGCGACGAUCCGUAACUGGUCUGAGAGGAUGAUCAGUCACACUGGAACUAAGACACGGUCCAGACUCCUACGGGAGGCAGCAGUGGGGAAUAUUGGACAAUGGGCGAAAGCCUGAUCCAGCCAUGCCGCGUGUGUGAAGAAGGUCUUCGGAUUGUAAAGCACUUUAAGUUGGGAGGAAGGGCAGUAAGUUAAUACCUUGCUGUUUUGACGUUACCAACAGAAUAAGCACCGGCUAACUUCGUG
rnacentral:rRNA from 1 species